UUACGAUCACAUCAUGUUGAAAUACCAGUUCACGUACAAUCACUAAAGUUAAGCAACAUCGAGCCUGGUCGGUACCUAGAUAGGUGACCGCUUGGGAAUACCAGUAAGUUGUAA